rnacentral:lncRNA from 1 species
AUAAAUUAUAUAAAGAUGGUUUGGUUGGGAGCAAAUACCCUUAACGUGUAUUUUGUUUCUAGCCCAGAAGCUUUGGUAUCUGGCAGGGCACAUACCAUGUUGAAUGACUUCUCAAGAAGAUCAUUGCUUUCAGUGGUACCUGUUUGACUCUCUUAAUGUGAUGGGAGGGGAUAUUUGAAGCUCCCUAAUAGCCUGUCUUCCUGUUGGAGUAAAAUGUGGUAGGACAACCCGUCAGUCCUUUCUUAAACAGAAUGCUGUUUGGAA